GUGGGGAAUAUUGGACAAUGGGGGGAACCCUGAUCCAGCCAUGCCGCGUGUGUGAAGAAGGCCUUUUGGUUGUAAAGCACUUUAAGCGAGGAGGAGGCUACCGAGAUUAAUACUCUUGGAUAGUGGACGUUACUCGCAGAAUAAGCACCGGCUAACUCUGUGCCAGCAGCCGCGGUAAUACAGAGGGUGCAAGCGUUAAUCGGAUUUACUGGGCGUAAAGCGCGCGUAGGUGGCCAAUUAAGUCAAAUGUGAAAUCCCCGAGCUUAACUUGGGAAUUGCAUUCGAUACUGGUUGGCUGGAGUAUGGGAGAGGAUGGUAGAAUUCCAGGUGUAGCGGUGAAAUGCGUAGAGAUCUGGAGGAAUACCGAUGGCGAAGGCAGCCAUCUGGCCUAAUACUGACACUGAGGUGCGAAAGCAUGGGGAGCAAACAGGAUUAGAAACCCGGGUAGUCC
rnacentral:rRNA from 1 species